rnacentral:rRNA from 1 species
UACAGAGGUCUCAAGCGUUGUUCGGAUUCAUUGGGCGUAAAGGGUGCGUAGGCGGCGCGGUAAGUCGGGUGUGAAAUCUCGGAGCUUAACUCCGAAACUGCAUUCGAUACUGCCGUGCUUGAGGACUGGAGGGGAGACUGGAAUUUACGGUGUAGCGGUGAAAUGCGUAGAUAUCGUAAGGAAGACCAGUGGCGAAGGCGGGUCUCUGGACAGUUCCUGACGCUGAGGCACGAAGGUCAGGGGAGCAAACGGG